UUCAGUAUGUUUACAUUCCAGGAGAAGAGACAGAAGAACAGAAGAAGAACGCUUUUCAUUGAUUAAUCAAAGUACUUUAUUUGUGAUAAGCUAAUCAAAGCAUUUGUUGAUCAUUAAUAAUCAGGUGAAUGAUCUGUGAAAUAAAGAUGUCAUGAGUUAUGUGUUUAAAUGAAUAAACAGGACUGCACCAGACAGACUGAUAUACAUUACCAUGGAAACGCAUGACACAUUAUUCUCAACCAAUCAGAACUUUCGUCUGUCGUAGAGAGAAUCUGGGAUGUUUACUUAAUGUGUCCAAUUCGGUUUACUAAGAUUGGUAAACAAUUAGGAGAUAUAAAAGAAGGCAACGCCAUUUUAUAUUCAGUUCCACGUUAAGUGUUCCAUGUUAACAUCAGCUCUGUUCGAUCCGAGCUCCCAAGGAGUUACAUCAUACUCUCAACAUUGUUUUCAACCAGCUCUCAAUCCAUCACCGCAAAGAGGAGUACAGGCUGGCCAGCUGUAUUUCCUAUUUUAAGCUGAGAACUGUCAAGCUGGAGAUUUCCGUCGUUUGAAUCCACGAGACGACAUUCCUUCAAAAUAAGAGUGAACUUGCUGACGCCUGCCGACUACUACCGGAGCUAUCCUCAGACGGUCUUUGUAGUGCUGCGACCGCUGUUCCACCAGCUCCAGUACAACCGAGGUCUUAGGACCUGGCAAUUCCUGAUCUACACGGGAGACUCCAUCUACGGUACGUGGUCACGGCAGUAUGGCGGCUCAUGUCAUCAGCUUCUGAAGCCUCGUGGUAGCCUUGUCAUAACAAACCAGAUUCGCUACGUCAGCCUAGAGAUUCUGAACAAAACACACACACACACACCAACACGAAACAUCUAAAUCCAUAUGCAUUCAUCAUUGAGAUAGUCCUGGUAGAUUGUAAGAAUUUAUAAUUAUAGAAAUUAAAGAUUCUUAAACGAUCCCAACUCUCUCUCUUUUCUUGUCUCUCAGUCAAUACAGAGUGUUUAAGUAAACUCCCUGAUGAUAAAAACAACCACUUCUGAUUGAUUACUUAGAUCUAAUUACAGUGUAUAAAUAUACAAAAUCAGAUAAUUAAAUUAUCUAAUUACAGUGUAUAAAUAUACAACUUCAAAUCACUACAUUUUGGCGAGCUUAGCCUGAUAUCUGCACAGCCAAUUUUGAGACAUAUUUGGGAUUUUUGUUCAGUGUGAGUUCAGAGAAAGGAAAAGGCGAGCCUUUCCUCCUUCAGCUUAGAGACAGCUUUUAUCUUGAAGGGGGGUGCACAUUCAUCACCCUCCACAGGAGGCGCUGUUUCAUCAAAACACCUUAAAGCUGACGUGGCGAGCGGCCAUCUUGAGGCCUACAUGUGAAGGUAUACUUUUCCUGUCUUGCUCGUGAGGAUCCUGCUUCCUGGGGGUGGAUCCGUAUCUCGUCAUCUGCAUCGACUACUCCUGGGUGGUGCUCCGGCUCGUUGGCCUUGGACGACCAGGGUUCCGGCAUGGCUGCUGGGACACCGCAUUCGUUGGGAUUACUGUCUACUACUCUUCCCUUUUUGUGGAUUACGAUAAGUACUGUUGCAAAGUUCAAUUUUUAUUUGGAAUAUUACCCUGCCAGUGGAUACAAAGAUCAAUCUUAUAUUUGGAAUAUUACCCUGUCAGUGGAAACAUAGUUCAAUUUGCUAUUUGGAAUAAUUACCUGCUCGUGGAUAUACACAAGAUUUGCUCCUGCUUUGCAUUUUUACCGUGAGGAUAUACAGCUGCUGUUGCUUCAAUUGUGGCUUCUGUGGGGAAUAGUUAAUAACCUGCUGACUUGUGUUCUUCCUGAGGAGUGUGCGGGAAUGUUCUUCAGCGUGGGGUUCGUACCUCACCACAGUUGGCUUUUCCCGUGGGAUCACAUCCUGUUCGGUUGUCAAGAUUCUUCAUAACUUGGGUUUGUUCAACGACCAAGUGGUCUCUUGCAGGACCACAUUGACCUUGAAAAGGGGGGAUGUGUAGCGUUAUGAAGCUUAUAAUGGUCUGCCCUUAACAGCUGCCCCUUCACACAGUAACAUCACCAAGGUCGGACGCUUGGUUCAGUAUGUUUACAUUCCAGGAGAAGAGACAGAAGAACAGAAGAAGAACGCUUUUCAUUGAUUAAUCAAAGUACUUUAUUUGUGAUAAGCUAAUCAAAGCAUUUGUUGAUCAUUAAUAAUCAGGUGAAUGAUCUGUGAAAUAAAGAUGUCAUGAGUUAUGUGUUUAAAUGAAUAAACAGGACUGCACCAGACAGACUGAUAUACAUUACCAUGGAAACGCAUGACAUAUUAUUCUCAACUAAUCAGAACUUUCGUCUGUCGUAGAGAGAAUCUGGGAUGUUUACUUAAUGUGUCCAAUCCGGUUUACUAAGAUUGGUAAACAAUUAGGAGAUAUAAAAGAAGGCAACGCCAUUUUAUAUUCAGUUCCACGUUAAGUGUUCCACGUUAACAUCAGCUCUGUUCGAUCCGAGCUCCCAAGGAGUUACAUCAUACUCUCAACAUUGUUUUCAACCAGCUCUCAAUCCAUCACCGCAAAGAGGAGUACAGGCUGGCCAGCUGUAUUUCCUAUUUUAAGCUGAGAACUGUCAAGCUGGAGAUUUCCGUCGUUUGAAUCAACGAGACGACAUUCCUUCAAAAUAAGAGUGAACUUGCUGACGCCUGCCGACUACUACCGGAGCUAUCCUCAGACGGGCUUUGUAGUGCUGCGACCGCUGUUCCACCAGCUCCAGUACAACCGAGGUCUUAGGACCUGGCAAUUCCUGAUCUACACGGGAGACUCCAUCUACGGUACGUGGUCACGGCAGUAUGGCGGCUCAUGUCAUCAGCUUCUGAAGCCUCGUGGUAGCCUAGUCAUAACAAACCAGAUUCGCUACGUCAGCCUAGAGAUUCUGAACAAAACACACACACACACACCAACACGAAACAUCUAAAUCCAUAUGCAUUCAUCAUUGAGAUAGUCCUGGUAGAUUGUAAGAAUUUAUAAUUAUAGAAAUUAAAGAUUCUUAAACGAUCCCAA